ACCCUGAAAACUGAAUGAUUUGUUACAUCACAGGAAUAUAGCCUUUCACCACUGUGCGUACGCUGAUGGGUCUUCAGGUUAUGCUGAUCGAUGAAUGACUUGUUACACAAAUCGCAGGAAUAUGGACGCUGGCCAUCAUAAAUUAUGUUCUCUUCUUUUGCUGGACUGUAGCAAACAAAUCGAAAGUCUUCAAAGCCUAGAAAAUUUUAUUCCAUUGUGUGCUGAUCAUGCAUUCGCGUUCACUGGGCGUUGACUGUGACGUCACAACAUGGCGGAUAUGUUUCGUCAACUUUAGUCAGUUGUUACAGAACAAGGACUGUAUUAGUACAACUGUGAACUGAAGUGAGCCAUAUCUUGAAGUGUCAGUAUUUAUUACAUCCAACAACCAAUCAGAUUUCUAUUCAGUUACUGCAACAGUAUCAGUGCCCGUUGAAAAUAAAUAAUUCUGAAUCUUUAUUACGCAGUUUUCUGUUCUCAGUCGUCACUUUAUCUCUCUUAGGUCAAGUUAUUCGGGUUCUGAACUUCAUUUUGAAACAUUCCUAAGAACUAAAUCAGUUUUUACGAUGUUUUGAAGAUAUGUUGCAUGUGAAAUCUAACAAAUACUGAACUUUUCUGCCUUCAAAGACUUUGGACAUCCAUGGAUAUUUGUGUAGCUAGCAGCAAAAAUGAAUUUCUUCUUGGCUUUUACCUGUUGUCUAUCUUGUUUAGACGUGCAAAGGAAGAAUUCAGGCGGAUAAAUUUUCCUGAUCGAUAUCCAGCUUUUAAUGGGAGGAAAAACUUGUACAGUACUCGAGAGCUGCCAGAGUGACACAUAAAGGUUUUCCAUCACCACAAAAUGUUGUGGAUGCCAUUCAUGAAAUCUGCAGACCUCAAGAUGACUGUGAGUUGAACUACAAUCAGAAGGAGGAUUUAAAGAGCUAUAUCUGUUGUAAGGGUGAGAAUAGUUACUGAAAAACCGGGUG